rnacentral:rRNA from 1 species
ACGCACGCUGGCGGCGUGCUUAACACAUGCAAGUCGAACGGAAAGGCCCUGCUUUUGUGGGGUGCUCGAGUGGCGAACGGGUGAGUAACACGUGAGUAACCUGCCCUUGACUUUGGGAUAACUUCAGGAAACUGGGGCUAAUACCGGAUAGGAGCUCCUGCUGCAUGGUGGGGGUUGGAAAGUUUCGGCGGUUGGGGAUGGACUCGCGGCUUAUCAGCUUGUUGGUGGGGUAGUGGCUUACCAAGGCUUUGACGGGUAGCCGGCCUGAGAGGGUGACCGGCCACAUUGGGACUGAGAUACGGCCCAGACUCCUACGGGAGGCAGCAGUGGGGAAUAUUGCACAAUGGGCGGAAGCCUGAUGCAGCAACGCCGCGUGCGGGAUGACGGCCUUCGGGUUGUAAACCGCUUUCGCCUGUGACGAAGCGUGAGUGACGGUAAUGGGUAAAGAAGCACCGGCUAACUACGU